GUGCUUGCUUCGGCAGCACAUAUACUAAAAUUGGAAUGAUACAGAGAAGAUUAGCAUGGCCCCUGCACAAGGAUGACACGCAAAUUCGUGAAGUGGUCCAUAUUUUU
rnacentral:snRNA from 1 species